AUUGAACGCUGGCGGCAUGCCUUACACACGCAAGUCGAACGGUAACAGGUCUUCGGAUGCUGACGAGUGGCGAACGGGUGAGUAAUACAUCGGAACGUGCCUAGUAGUGGGGGAUAACUACUCGAAAGAGUGGCUAAUACCGCAUGAGAUCUACGGAUGAAAGCAGGGGAUCGCAAGACCUUGUGCUACUAGAGCAGCCGAUGGCAGAUUAGGUAGUUGGUGGGAUAAAAGCUUACCAAGCCGACGAUCUGUAGCUGGUCUGAGAGGACGAUCAGCCACGCUGGGACUGAGACACGGCCCAGACUCCUACGGGAGGCAGCAGUGGGGAAUUUUGGACAAUGGGCGAAAGCCUGAUCCAGCAAUGCCGCGUGCGGGAUGAAGGCCUUCGGGUUGUAAACUGCUUUUGUACGGAACGAAAAGCCCCGGGUUAAUACCCUGGGGUCAUGACGGUACCGUAAGAAUAAGCACCGGCUAACUACGUGCCAGCCGCCGCGGUAA
rnacentral:rRNA from 1 species